UGCGCUCCCCUGCUAGAACCUCCAAACAAGCUCUCAAGGUCCAUUUGUAGGAGAACGUAGGGUAGUCAAGCUUCCAAGACUCCAGACACAUCCAAAUGAGGCGCUGCAUGUGGCAGUCUGCCUUUCUUU
rnacentral:snRNA from 1 species